AAAAAUCUAUAUGAAAAAAUUAUAUAUAUAAAUAAAUUUUUAUGAUUUAUGUAAUUUAAUUUAAAUUUGUUUUACAUGUAAAUUUUAGUAUUAAUUUUUAAUUAUUUUAAUAAUAAUUAUUAAUAUUUGCAGUAAUUAAAAUUAAAAAUUUAAGAAAUUAAGAUUUAGUAAUAUUUAAUUUAUUAACAAAUUUUGUGCCAGCAGUUGCGGUUAUACAAAAAAUAAUUUAAAUUUUAUCAGUAUAUAAUUAAUAAAAAUUAUUAUUUAAAUUAAAUAUUAAAUUAUUAGGUGAAAUUUUAAUUUAAUUAAAAUUUAUAUUAAUUUUAUGAUUUAUUAAAUUUUAUAAAAAACUAGGAUUAGAUACCCUAUUAUUAAAAAUUAAAUUUAUAAUACUAAAAUAGUAGGUAAUAAUUUAUUGAAACUUAAAUAAUUUGGCGGUAUUUUAGUUUAUUUAGAGGAAUCUGUUUAAUAAUUGAUAAUCCACGAAUAAAUUUACUUAAUUUAUUAUUUUGUAUAUCGUUGUUAAAAAAAUAUUUUUUAAUAAAAAUAAUAUUUUAAAAUUUUUAUAUAAAAUUAAUUCAGAUCAAGAUGCAGAUUAUAAUUAAGAAUAUAAUGGAUUACAAUAAAUAAAUUUAAAUGGAUAAUAUUUUUUAAUAAAUAUUUAAAGGUGGAUUUAAAUGUAAUUUUAAUUAGUUUAUUAAAAUGAUUAUAUAUUAAAAUAUGUACAUAUUGCCCGUCGCUUUCAUUAAUAAAUUGGAAUAAGUCGUAACAAAGUAGAGGUACUGGAAAGUGUUUCUAGAAAGAA
rnacentral:ncRNA from 1 species